AGUGAACGCUGGCGGUAGGCCUAACACAUGCAAGUCGAACGGCAGCACAGUAAGAGCUUGCUCUUACGGGUGGCGAGUGGCGGACGUGUGAGGAAUACAUCGGACUCUACUUUUUCGUGGGGGAUCACGUAGGGAAACUUACGCUAAUACCGCAUACGACCUACGGGUGAAAGCAGGGGAUCUUCGGACCUUGCGCGAUUGAAUGAGCCGAUGUCGGAUUAGCUAGUUGGCGGGGUAAAGGCCCACCAAGGCGACGAUCCGUAGCUGGUCUGAGAGGAUGAUAGGCCACACUGGAACGGAGACAGGGUCAAGACGACUACGGGAGGCAGCAGUGGGGAAUAGUGGACAAUGGGCGCGAGCCUGAUCCAGCCAGACCGCGUGGGUGAAGAAGGCCUUCGGGUUGUAAAGACCUUUUGUGGGGAAAGAAAAGCAGCAGGUUAAUACCCAGCGGUUCUGACGGUACCGAAAGAAUAAGCACCGGCUAACUUCGUG
rnacentral:rRNA from 1 species